rnacentral:rRNA from 1 species
GAAACGACUGCUAAGACUGGAUAGGGAAAGUAAAGGCAUCUUCACUUUUUUAAAAGACCUUCUUUGAAGGUAUGCUUAAGGAGGGGCUUGCGACACAUUAGUUAGUUGGCAGGGUAAAGGCCUACCAAGACUAUGAUGUGUAGCUGGACUGAGAGGUUGAACAGCCACAUUGGGACUGAGACACGGCCCAAACUCCUACGGGAGGCAGCAGUAGGGAAUUUUCGGCAAUGGAGGAAACUCUGACCGAGCAACGCCGCGUGAACGAUGAAGUAUUUCGGUAUGUAAAGUUCUUUUAUUAAGGAAGAAAAAAGAGUGGAAAAACUCCCUUGACGGUACUUAAUGAAUAAGCCCCGGCUAAUUAUGUGCCAGCAGCCGCGGUAAUACAUAAGGGGCGAGCGUUAUCCGGAAUUAUUGGGCGUAAAGGGUGCGUAGGCGGUUUAAUAAGUCUAUAGUUUAAUUUCAGUGCUUAACGCUGUUAUGCUAUAGAAACUGUUUUACUAGAGUGAGAUAGAGGCAAGCGGAAUUCCAUGUGUAGCGGUAAAAUGCGUAAAUAUAUGGAGGAACACCAGAGGCGUAGGCGGCUUGCUGGGUCUUUACUGACGCUGAGGCACGAAAGCGUGGGGAGCAAACAGGAUUAGAUACCCUGGUAGUCCACGCCGUAAACGAUGAGUACUAAGUGUCGGGUAAAACCGGUACUGAAGUUAACACAUUAAGUACUCCGCCUGAGUAGUACGUACGCAAGUAUGAAACUUAAAGGAAUUGACGGGACUCCGCACAAGCGGUGGAUCAUGUUGUUUAAUUCGAAGAUACACGAAAAACCUUACCAGGUCUUGACAUUUUCUUGCGAAGUUAUAGAAAUAUAAUGGAGGUUAUCAGGAAAACAGGUGGUGCAUGGUUGUCGUCAGCUCGUGUCGUGAGAUGUUAGGUUAAGUCCUAAAACGAGCGCAACCCUUGUCGUUAAUUGCCAGCAUGUAAUGAUGGGGACUUUAACGAGACUGCCAAUGAAAAAUUGGAGGAAGGUGGGGAUUACGUCAAAUCAUCAUGCCCCUUAUGAUCUGGGCUACAAACGUGAUACAAUGGUUGAUACAAAGAGUAGCUGAAACGCGAGUUCUUAGCCAAUCUCACAGAAUCAAUCUCAGUUCGGAUUGAAGUCUGCAACUCGACUUCAUGAAGUUGGAAUCGCUAGUAAUCGCGAAUCAGCAUGUCGCGGUGAAUACGUUCUCGGGGUUUGUACACACCGCCCGUCA